rnacentral:rRNA from 1 species
GAUGAACGCUGGCGGCGUGCCUAAUACAUGCAAGUCGAGCGAAUGGAUUAGGAGCUUGCUCUUAUGAAGUUAGCGGCGGACGGGUGAGUAACACGUGGGUAACCUGCCCAUAAGACUGGGAUAACUCCGGGAAACCGGGGCUAAUACCGGAUAACAUUUUGAACCGCAUGGUUCGAAAUUGAAAGGCGGCUUCGGCUGUCACUUAUGGAUGGACCCGCGUCGCAUUAGCUAGUUGGUGAGGUAACGGCUCACCAAGGCAACGAUGCGUAGCCGACCUGGGAGGGUGAUCGGCCACACUGGGACUGAGACACGGCCCAGACUCCUACGGGAGGCAGCAGUAGGGAGUCUUCCGCAAUGGACGAAAGUCUGACGGAGCAACGCCGCGUGAGUGAUGAAGGCUUUCGGGUCGUAAAACUCUGUUGUUAGGGAAGAACAAGUGCUAGUUGAAUAAGCUGGCACCUUGACGGUACCUAACCAGAAAGCCACGGCUAACUACGUGCCAGCCGCCGCGGUAA